CCUACGGGAGGCAGCAGUGGGGAAUAUUGGACAAUGGGGGGAACCCUGAUCCAGCGACGCCGCGUGAGUGAAGAAGUAUCUCGGUAUGUAAAGCUCUAUCAGUAGGGAAGAAAGAAAUGACGGUACCUGACUAAGAAGCCCCGGCUAACUACGUGCCAGCAGCCGCGGUAAUACAGAGGGGGCAAGCGUCAUUCGGAUUUACUGGGUGUAAAGGGAGCGUAGACGGUUACGCAAGUCUGGAGUGAAAGGCGGGGGCCCAACCCCCGGACUGCAUUGGAAACUGUAUAACUGGAGUGCAGGAGAGGUAAGGGGAAUUCCUGGUGUAGCAGUGAAAUGCGUAGAUAUUAGGAGGAACACCAGUGGCGAAGGCGGCUUACUGGACUGUAACUGACGUUGAGGCACGAAAGCGUGGGGAGCGAACAGGAUUAGAUACCCCAGUAGUC
rnacentral:rRNA from 1 species